UACGUAGGGUGCAAGCGUUAAUCGGAAUUACUGGGCGUAAAGCGUGCGCAGGCGGUUGUGCAAGACCGAUGUGAAAUCCCCGGGCUUAACCUGGGAACUGCAUUGGUGACUGGCAGGCUUUGAGUGUGGCAGAGGGAGGUAGAAUUCCACGUGUAGCAGUGAAAUGCGUAGAGAUGUGGAGGAAUACCGAUGGCGAAGGCAGCCUCCUGGGCCAACACUGACGCUCAUGCACGAAAGCGUGGGGAGCAAACAGG
rnacentral:rRNA from 1 species